GGCGAUCAGAUACCGCCCUAGUUCUAACCGUAAACGAUGACAACCAGCGAUUAAUCGGCGUUAAUAUAUGACCCGAUUAGCAGCUUCCGGGAAACCAAAGUUUUUCGUUUCCGGGGGAAGUAUGGUUGCAAAGCUGAAACUUAAAGGAAUUGACGGAAGGGCACCACCAGGAGUGGAGCCUGCGGCUUAAUUUGACUCAACACGGGAAAACUCACCCGGCCCGGACACCGUAAGGAUUGACAGACUGAGAGCUCUUUCUUAAUUCGGUGGGUGGUGGUGCAUGGCCGUUCUUAGUUGGUGGAGCGAUUUGUCUGGUUAAUUCCGAUAACGAACGAGACUCUGGCCUAUUAAAUAGACGAUGUAUUUAAAAGUAUGUCGUACUUCUUAGAGGGACAAGCGGCGUCUAGCCGCAUGAAAUAGAGCAAUAACAGGUCUGUGAUGCCCUUAGAUGUCCGGGGCUGCACGCGCGCUACACUGAAAGAAUCAGAGUGCGUUAUACCUAGUUCGGAAGAACCGGGUAACCCAAGUAAAUUCUUUCGUGCUUGGGAUAGGGAAUUGCAAUUAUUUCCCUUAAACGAGGAAUUCCCAGUAAAUGCGGGUCAUAAGCUCGCGUUGAUUACGUCCCUGCCCUUUGUA
rnacentral:rRNA from 1 species